UGAGGGAAAAAUUGCUUUGGUGGGAUUAAC
rnacentral:piRNA from 1 species